rnacentral:rRNA from 1 species
AACGAACGCUGGCGGCAGGCUUAACACAUGCAAGUCGAGCGCAUCCUUCGGGGUGAGCGGCGGACGGGUGAGUAACGCGUGGGAACGUGCCCUCUUCUACGGAAUAGCCUCGGGAAACUGAGAGUAAUGCCGUAUACGCCCGCAAGGGGAAAGAUUUAUCGGAGGAGGAUCGGCCCGCGUUGGAUUAGGUAGUUGGUGGGGUAACGGCCUACCAAGCCGACGAUCCAUAGCUGGUUUGAGAGGAUGAUCAGCCACACUGGGACUGAGACACGGCCCAGACUCCUACGGGAGGCAGCAGUGGGGAAUCUUGGACAAUGGGGGCAGCCCUGAUCCAGCCAUGCCGCGUGAUCGAUGAAGGCCUUAGGGUUGUAAAGAUCUUUCAGCUGGGAAGAUAAUGAUGGUACCAGCAGAAGAAGCCCCGGCUAACUCCGUG